GGGAUUCCUGGUGAUGUGAUUUUCGACGAAUCGCAGAAUCACAUUGCCAGGGAUUACCAG
rnacentral:pre_miRNA from 1 species